AGCGAACGCUGGCGGCAGGCCUAAUACAUGCAAGUCGAACGCACCUUCGGGUGAGUGGCGGACGGGUGAGUAACGCGUGGGAACGUGCCCUUUGGUACGGAACAACUGAGGGAAACUUCAGCUAAUACCGUAUGUGCCCUUCGGGGGAAAGAUUUAUCGCCAUUGGAACGGCCCGCGUUGGAUUAGCUAGUUGGUAGGGUAAUGGCCUACCAAGGCUACGAUCCAUAGCUGGUCUGAGAGGAUGAUCAGCCACACUGGGACUGAGACACGGCCCAGACUCCUACGGGAGGCAGCAGUAGGGAAUCUUGCGCAAUGGGCGAAAGCCUGACGCAGCCAUGCCGCGUGUAUGAUGAAGGUCUUAGGAUUGUAAAAUACUUUCACCGGGGAAGAUAAUGACGGUACCCGGAGAAGAAGCCCCGGCUAACUUCGUGCCAGCCGCCGCAGUAACAC
rnacentral:rRNA from 1 species